rnacentral:lncRNA from 1 species
CUAUUAUAGAUUGUGAUAGACCUGGAAUUAAAGGAGAGGAAAAGUAUUGUGCAACCUCAUUAGAAUCCAUGAUUGAUUUCAGCACCUCAAAGCUGGGGAAUAAGGGUGUUAAGGCAGUUUCCACAGAGGUAGAAAACAAGUCCCAGACGCUGUACAGAAUUGCAGCUGGUGUGGAGAAGAUGGGAGGUGACGUUUCUGUGGUGUGCCAUAAAAUGGAGUAUGCAUAUGCAGUGUUUUACUGUCACAAGAUCGCUGCCACAAGGGCUUAUAUGGUUCCCCUGGUGGGCAGGGAUGGGGCAAAAGCGAAAGCAGUUGCAUUGUGUCACACAAAUACAAAGGAAUGGAACCCCAAGCAUUUGGCCUUUCAACUGCUCAAAGUCAAGCCAGGAGUUCCCAUCUGCCAUUUCCUUACUCAGGAUCAGAUCAUCUGGGUGGUUUCAAAAUAGAAAUGCAGGGGCAAUAAAUAAAUAAAGAAAAUAAUCCAUCUUUAGUACCUCGAUCGGUAAUGUAAUGAACUUAUGAGUUAUGAGUUGUUUGCUGCCACCCUCGCCCUAAUGUAUUAUGUUUGUAUGUAACUAUGUAUGCGUGUGGGAUAUUGUAUAUAUGAUCUGGUGUGCUUUGGAACAAGGGACAUGCAUGGAGCCCAGUGUUUAUAAAAUAAUUAAUCAAGUUGGAUGGAAUCCUUUAUCGUCCUUUAUCUUUACCAUCUUUAUGACAGAAAAAACAAAAGGGGGAAAAAAAGCAACGUCUGAAAUCAUGUUUGCUCCCACUACAUCCUGUCCCUUUCUCACUUUAUUUUCCUUCCCUUCCCAUUGGAGUCGAUAAGAAGGGAAGAAAAAUAAAAUAAAGUGAAAGGGAAUAAAAGGAUGUUAGGUUAUGUUUGGUUACUAGUGUGUUUUAUACUUUAUCUAUCGCAUUCAAAAUUUUAUACUUUGCCCUCCAAAUUUGUUAUUAAACAACGUUUUGCUACCUAAACUUAUUAAAAGUCAAUAAACGACAUAUUAAGUAAAAAAGUAAAACUGAAAUAUAAAGAAAAAUACUUGUUAUUCAAAGUCAAAAUUACAUUUAAAAUCUUGAAUAAAUAUACAAAUGUCUCUUUAAAAUUAAAAUUCAAAACUAAUAAUUGUCAUAGUUCAAAGGCAUUUGGAAAAGUCCACUUUAAAAUUAUCAUCUUUACCCAGGUUUAAUCCAUUGAUCAAAUCGGGUGCAAAAAAAUAAAAAGUUUUGUAAUUGGGGGAUUAAGUGUUGCUCUAUAACGAAUUUGGAGGGCAAAGUCUUGAGUUCUAAAUGCGAUAAAGUAAAAUAUAAAACCGCUAAAGAUUAAAAUGGUAAAAUGUAUUUAAUCCUCUAUUUUAAUCCCAAAACUUAGAAGAAAAAAAAACUUUUGAAAUAUAAAGAAAUCGGAAAAAAAAAAUUAAACUUUUGCUACAAUAUUAAUUUCUAUUUUUGUUUCUUAAAAUUAAAUUCAAAGAUCAUAUGUUGAAGUUUAUUUUUCUUCUAACUUUCAAAAUUUAUUAGUAAAAUCUAGAAAAUAAACGACACUAAAAUAUUUUUUAUUUUGCAUAAUUUUUAAAUAAAUUUCAAGUUUUCAUUAUUUAUCACACAAUUAACAUGUCUUUGUAGUACCUUUCUAUAUAUAUAUAAUUUUUUUAUUAUUUUUUUAUUUUUUUUGCCACAACCUUAAAGAACCAUUAGCAAAUUUUUGCCCUUACCUAAUUGAAGGGUAUAAUGUACUCAUGUUAUGAAAGUUGCUUCAUCUAGCAUUCAAAAAUGAGUGGUGAUUAGUUGUUUGCAAUAACUCUCCCUCAUCACAUGGCUACCCUGAAAGAAUCCCUAUAUAUGUAGAGGCACCUCACUUCAGUUCCUACCAUUCAAGCUUAGCCACAUCCCUCUGAUCUAUAAAAUAUAGUAUUGCUUCUGCUGCAGUUUGGGAGCUUUCAUGGAGUUUUACCUCCUUCCCAUUCUGGCUUUUCUCUCUGUGAGCCUUACCUUCCUACUUCUAACACACUCAUAAGGCACUAAGUUAUUUACAAGCCUUGGUUGUGCUAUUUGGCACUGAAAAUUAAACCUGUUCUCUAUAUAUUUUGGAAAAUCAAAACAACGCCCAGAUGAAACUAUACUUUACUGAGCAUUUUUAAAAUAUUUUUCUGAAAAUAUUGAAAAAAUAUGCAGAAAAGGGAACAGAGUUUGUAACAUGUUCAUCAUUUUUAUUAUAGCUGUCAUGAUCUCUGUAGAUGGGCUUUCCUUAACUUUGAUGUAGAAGAGCAUUAGAGCUAGUGUUUAUAUAGGCUAUAUAGUUCAUUUCUUGUAACUGAACUUUUAUGCAUGAAACUAUGGCAGCUUGUGGUGGUGGAAAGCCGUGCUUCUCUGCGAUCUGAGCUUUACUGGCCCUUGGUGUUGCCAAACACUCCCAAGCCAAAGUUUUGUGGGUUUUCUGGAGGCCUGGUAAUUCGUUUCUAAUUUCUAAACUCCUCUGCUAACUUACUCUUUUUCUUCACUUUUUGGGUGUUAAGAGAAAAAUAAAUUAAAAAUAUAAGAAUCUAACAAUAAUGUAUCUGAACUUCAGUUGCAGCUAACUCUAACAGCCGGUGAUGCUGAUCUACCUUCUGAAGUUUACUGGAGUUCUGUGCUUCCAAACACCCCGAUGCCACAAGCUGUCAAGAAUAGUCUACGUCCAGGUUGGUUAUGAAAGUUUAAGAGUUUGCCAUAAAUUAUUUUAGGAGGGUGUUACAGGAUUCUGAUUCUUAGCAUCAUGGUGAUCGAAUAUGCAGACCUGCUGGAAGACCAAAGCACCCCUGUAGAGAUAGGGAAAGGCACUAGUAUGGGUUUCAGCAAAGAAGGAGGAGCUAUGAACAUGUAUGCUGGAGUUAAGCCAGCGAAAGCAGCGAUGCCCUUCUCAUACCAUUAUGCUGCUACAAAGGAUCAGCUCCAUGCCUACCCUAAUGUGGCCAUUUUCUUCUUGGAGAAGGACAUGCAUCCCGGCAUGAAGCUGACCUUGCACUUCACCAAGACUACAAAUGCUACUUUCUUACCUCACCAAGUAGCUAAUUCAUUACCCUUCUCUUCAGACAAGUUGGCUGAAAUUCUGGACCAGUUGUCCAUAAAACCAGAAUCAGUAGAAGCUGAGACAAUCAAGAAUACGAUUGAAGAGUGUGAGGACCCUGGAAUUAAAGGGGAGGAAAAGUAUUGUGCAACCUCAUUAGAAUCCAUGAUUGAUUUCAGCACCUCGAAGCUGGGGAAUAAGGGUGUCAAGGCCGUUUCAACAGAGGCAGAAAACAAGUCCCAGAUGAAGUACAGAAUUGCAGCUGGUUUGGAGAAGAUGGGAGGCGACUUCUCUGUGGUGUGCCAUAAAAUGAAUUACCCAUAUGCAGUGUUUUACUGUCAUAAGAUCCAGGCCACAAGGGCUUAUAUGGUUCCCUUGGUGGGCAGGGAUGGGACAAAAGCAAAAGCAGUUGCAGUGUGUCAUGCAAAUACAAUGGAAUGGAACCCCAAUCAUUUGGCCUUUCAACUGCUCAAAGUCAAGCCGGGAACUGCUCCCAUCUGCCACUUCCUUCCUGAGGACCAUGUCGUCUGGGUUGCAAAGUAGAGAUGGGCAAUUAAUGAAUAAAUAAAUAAACUCAUCUGAGUUCUUCGGUAAUGUUAUGAAUUGGAAUAUCAUCGUGAGGGGCACUUGAUGUUAAUUUGGAAUUUUUAUGCAGUGUAUAUAUGCUAGCUGCAACCCUCACUCUUUGUACUAUCUAUUAGGUAUGUAAGCGUGCCAGAUAUUGCCUUCUCUUAGUUAAAUACUAAUGCUACUUAUUCUGGUGUGCUUCGCCAAUUUAUUCAACUAAUGAUAGGUAUGACAUAGGAUUUAACUGCGUCCGAGAAGGAGCUUGGGCAACAACAGCAAGUUUUCCUUUCUACCUUAGAGAAAAAGGGAAGCGAUCUAAGGUGCAAAAACGUGGGGAUGAGUGUUAUCUUGGGGAGGUGUUGUUGGUAUGCUAACCGAAUAGUUAGAGAUGCCGAAGCAAUGCAUGUUUCCUUAAUAUUAUUUUCUAUACAUUUUAUACUAAAUGAGAAAAUAUUUCAAAACUAUAAUGAAAAACAAAAAUAAUUUAUCUCUCCUUCCUUAUACAUACAAACAACUUCACUGCUUUUCUUACAAGCUUAGCCAACCUUGGUCCUUUUCUCUGAAAUGGAUUGGGCUUUCUGCUGCAAUUUCAGAGCUUUAUUAAUGUAGUUUUAUCUUCUUCCCGACCAUGUCUCUGGCUUUCCUCCCCGUGAGCCUUAAGUACUUCACUGUUUCUUCUCUUUUCAGUCUUUAACUUUUAUCUAUAUAUAUGCUAAAGUACUGUCUUCUCUAGGUGGGUUUUUUACUUUGGCUGCUACUAUGCUAAUGUCUAAGGAAAACAAGCCACACAUUUGAAUAGGUACAAUUCCCCUAUCAUUAUUUUUCUAAAUUUCUUGGCUUUUUUUAAGGGUUGUUUGAUUUAUGUAAAUUCCCUGAUCUUCCCUAAUCAGUAGUUAAUAAAUUUUAGUACUUAUGAUUUAUGUAAACAAGCCACAUGAACAUAUUUUAGUGCUUAUGAUUUAUGCAAAUUUUGAUAAAAUAUUAUUGUAAAGAUAGUUAAAAAACAAUUAGGAAUAAAUUAAAAGAGUUCUAGAAAUGAGAAAUUUUUAGAAAAGUGAAAGAGAAAAUUUUAAAAUAAUUGCCUCAAUAAAAGAAAAUCGUUUCACUAAACAGAAAUAAAGGUAAAAUCAAUUUUGUUAAUAAAUCUUUUUUAAAAAAUAAAUGAAUAAUCAGAUUUAGUAAAUAUAAAAAAGGGAUUGAAAUAUUUUUGUAAAUGAGUUUAUAAAAAUCUUGUUUUCUAAAAAGCUUUUUUCUUAAUAAAAAACCUUUACGGGAUUGAUUCCUCUUUGCAAAUAAAAAUAAAAUAAAAUAAAAUCUUAAUAAAUUGAUUUCUUUUUUCUCAAUAUGAAACUAUAAAACAGUUUUUUUAAAAAAAGAAUUCAAUUAAAAUUGGAUUUUUUUAUGUAAAGUCAACCGGGAAAUCUUCUUUUAAUAUAAAUAUAAAACCUUCUUUUAAUAAAAAUAUGAAUUUUCCUUUUAAAUAAAAUUGAAAAUCCUUUUUUUUUUUUAAUGAAAUAGAGAAAUCAUCUUUAAAACAAACUAGGAAAAUUUUAAAUAAAAUAAGGAUAAAAUAUCUCCUAAUGUUUUCUUGAAAUAAACUUAAUAAAAAAUUUGAUUUUUUUUAAUAAAAUGGAAAUAAUUUUUUAGAAAAAUAAAUUGCAAAGAUUUUUAAGUAAAAUUCAAAAACUUUUUUUUUUAAACAAAAUAAAAAUAAAAUUCUUUUUAACAAAUCUUUCCUAGUAAAAGUCAAGUAAAAGUAAGAUUUUUUCAAUAAACUUUCCAAAUGAAAUCAACUUGGGGUGAAAUGAAAAUUGACUCGGGUUUUUUCUUAGAAUAAAUUUGUAAAAAUCUUCUAUCUAAAUAAUUUAUAAAAAUCCUAAAUUUGCAAAAGUCCUUCUUUUCAUAAAAUUUUUGAAGGAUUUUUUUUCUAAAUAAAUUUUUAAACAUCAUUUUCCUUAAAUAAAAUUAAGAUUAGAAUAAUUUUGUAUAAAUAAAAUUUAAAAAUCAUUUUUUAAUAAAUUUAAGCAAAAUACAUUUUUAGAUAAAAUUGUUGAAAUCUCAAAGUUUAGAUUGAAAUUUUCUUCUUAUUUUUAUAAAAUAAAUCUAGAAAAAAAUUCAUUUUCUUGUAAAAUCAAUUUUAAAAAAAUAAAUAUGGAUUGAAAUAUAUGUGAUAAAUGAAUAUGUUAAAAAAAAAUGUAUUUCCUUCAUAAAAAUUGAAAAAUCAUUUUUAGAUAAAUAAAAUUUUAAUUGAAAGGUCCUUUUUAAAAGAAUCUCUUUUAAUAAAAUCUAGGAAAAAAAUCCUUUUUUAAAAUAAACUUGUAAAUAAAAAGUCUUUUUUAAUAAAAGUCAAAUAAAAUUCCCUUUUUAAUAAAAUUGCAAAAAUACCAAUUUCUUUUGUUAAGUCCUUUUAAAAGAAAACAAAAACCAAAUUGGAAAAUUGGAAUACUUUGUGUGGAUGAAAUUAUGAAAAUCUCUCUUUUACAAAGUCGGAUAUAAAUCAUUUCUAACAAUUUUUUAAUAAAUUUGAAACCUUUGAGAAAAACAAUAAGUUUGAAAUCUUUCUCUUAGAAUCAAUUUUUUUUUUAAUCCGAAUAAAAUCAAAAAACUUUUCCUUAAAUGAAAGGAAGAUAAAAUCCUUUUUAUCAAUAAAUCUUUUUUAUGAAAUCAAAUAAUAAAUCAUUUUUAGAAAAUAAAAAGGAAUUGAAGUAUUUUUGUAAAUAAUUUUUUAAAAGUCAUCUUCUUAUUAAAAAUCAUUUUUACUAAUAAAAUUGAAUUGAAUUUUAAUAUUUUUGUAAAUAAAAAUAUAAAAGUCUUAUUUCUAUCAAAAUAAUAAAAAUCAAUUUGCUUUGCAAAUAAAAUUGAAUUGAAACAUCUUUUACAAUAAAUUUGUACAAAAAAAAAAUCAUUUUUCUAAACAAUUUGUAAAAAGCACUUUUUAAAAAUAAAAAUUAAAUUGGAACACUUUUGUAAAUAAAAAUCAUUUUGUUGUAAAUAAGAUCAAGUUGAAUUUUUUAUAAAAUUGAUUUUAAUAAAUUAUGUUAAGUAAAUAGUUUUCUUGAAAAUAAAACUUGAAUACAAAAAUAAAAUCGAAUCAAAUCACUUAUUCAAAAUAAAUUAAAACUUUUUUGUAAUUUCUUGAAAUUUUAAUUUUUGAAAUCAUAAUUCUCUUAUUAUUUAUCUUAUAUAUUUUUGUAAUAAGCUUUUAUCAUUAUUUUCUUAUGUAUAUUCAUAUGUGUCAUUAAUCUUAGAUACCAUGAUUAAUUAAUUAAUUAUCAUAAUUUCCUUCAUUCUCCUAUUCUCGAUAGGUAAUCUAACUUGUAACUCCGUUUUUUAUUUGUAAACUUAUCUUUGUUUCAAAUAAGUCACAUAGAGUUUUUUUUUUUUUUUUUUAUCUCAUCUUUUAAAAAUAGAUAAAAGUAAAUAGCAAUUCCAACUUUUUAAAAAAUCAAUUUUUUAAGUAAUAUUUGAAUCUCGCUAUUAAGUGGAAAUGCACAUAAAAACCGUAGGUCCAUAGAUUUCUAACAUAAGAGUGUUCCCCAUGUUUAACAUAUUUUCUAUGCUUUUUUUUUCUUUUUUUGGUUUUCAAAAUCAACCAUUUGGCUACAAAACAAGCCCCAAUAUUUUUCUCAAUAAGUGAAAUUCUACAAGAAAGGAUAAGUGAAUCUAGAAACGGGAUGCAGAUCUUUACCGAUGCACGCAAAUGAACUUCAUGCGACAAACAUGUAGAAGUAUAACCAUCUUCUGGUGUGGGCCUUGGACAUAGUGACAUAGAACACUAGAGGUAGUUAUCUUGUCAUGAAAAGGCACUAACCAAAAGCAGCACCUAGCUCAUAGCCCUAUGAGAUCUUAACAACAAUUUCAUAGUCUUCCUUUUACCCUCAUGGUAUUCCAAGCAAUAAUUUGAACCUAAAUCAUUAAAAGAGAUAAUUGACCAAAUGGUGACACCCUCAAUUCUUUCAAUAGGCUAUAAUCCACUAAACAUCCAAAGUUCCCAUGAAGCAUCCAAAUGUCUAGACAAAGCUUUGGAGAAAGAAAAACCAAUAUUGCUAAUCUUCAUGACUAUAGCAUCUAUGAAAAUGGGCAAUCAAUUUCUCUCAUUAAUCAUAAUACAAGAUUACAACAAAUUAGAUACACAUGCCAUAAUACAGUGAGUGGAAAAAUAGGAAAGAAUAAAGACGGGAAAGUAAAUAUCCCUACAAAUCAAGAACUAGGAAUACAUCCCUAACAAUCAAGAACCUAAUUCCUAGGCUAAUAUCCUAUCCAAUUACACCUAUCAUUCUAUCAUUUGGAUAUACUUCCCAUAAUUAGGAAAUUCGUUUUCACACUCCCCCUCAAGCUGGUGAGUGGAUAUCAUCCAUUCUUAGCUUAUUAAUGAUUCUUUGAAAUGAUAUGCCAUUUAGUCCUUUAGUCAACACGUCUGCCUAUUGAUUUCCCAUUGGUAUAUACGGUGUAUAAAUCAACUCAUAGCCCAGCUUCUCUUUUAUAAAGUGUUUGUCCACUUCAAUGUGCUUAGUACGAUCAUAUUAAACUGAAGUCGUCCAAAAUUAUUUUUAUCCACAGGAGUUCACAAACACCCAAUGUCAUUGCUCUAAAUUCAACCUCUACACUCAAUCUUACAACCAUAUUUUGGUUCUUGCUUUUCCAGGUUACAAGAUUUCAUCCAAGAAAUGUGCAAUAACACAAGGUGGGUCUUCUAUCCGCUAUUGAACCUACAUAGUUUGCAUCUGUAUAGGCCUCUAAAGACAUUUUUUUCUCCUAUUCUGAACAAGAUUCAUUUACCUGGUAUCCCCUUAAGGUGUUGUAUGAUUCAAACCACUACUCGAAGAUGAACUUUCUUAGGAUUAUGCAUGAAUUGGAUGACAACUCCAACAGGAUAAGCUAUAGUUGAUCAAGUAUGUGAAAGAUAAAUUAAUCUUCCACCAAGAUUUUGAUACAUUCUUUUAUCCAUCACAUUGUCUUUAAGAUCUUCUCCAAGCUUGUGAUUUGACUCAGUAAGGGUUUUGACAGGUUUAUAAUCGAGUUUCCCAAUUUCUUUCAAUAGGUCUAAGACAUGCUUCUAUUUGGAGAUAAACAUUCUCCGUCAAGAUUGAGCAACUUCAAUACUAAGGAAAUACUUCAACAUGCCUAACUCUUUUAUUUCAAACUCUUCAAUUAAGUAUUUCCUUAAUUCUUCAUUUUCUUUCAAAUCAUCACCAAUGACUACAAUAUCAUCCACAUACACUAGCAACACGGUUACUUCCCCUGAGUUUUAGUGUUUAAUAAAUAAAGUAUGAUCACAUUGAUUUUGUUUAUAUACCAUAGAAAUCAUUACUUUUGCAAACCUUCCAAAUCAUGCCCUCAAAGAUUGUUUUAGCCUAUAUAGCACUUUUUUCAAUUUGCAUACAUUCUUCUCAAAGUUUAUGCUAAAACUUGGGAAAUUUUCCAUAUAAAUCUCAUCUUCAAGAUCGUCUUGUAGGAAGUUGUUUUUGACAUCAAAUUAUUGCAAGUCCCAUCCAAAAUUAGUUGUCAAAGAUAAAAGUAUCCUUACUAUAUUUAUCUUAGCCACCGGAGUAAAUGUCUCAAGGUCAUCAACACCAUACAUUUGAGUAUAUCCCUUUGCCACCAAUCGUGCUUUAUACCUCAUCAGAGUUCCACCAGCUCUAUACUUCACUAUAAACAUCCAUUUGUACCCCACUGGAUCCUUACCUUUUGGUAAUUCUAUUGACUCCUAAAGCCUUGUUUUAUUUCUAGAGCCUCCAUUUCAGCUUCCAUAGCAUUCCUCCACUCCUUAUGUUAAUGCUUCGGACACUAUUUUAGGUAUGGUAACAAUGUUCAAGUGAGAGGCAAUUUCUUAUAGGACAGGAAAUGAGAUGUUGGAUAUAAAGGACGACGUUAGGUGCAUUUUCUUGUGCCUUUCCCAAAAUGGGAGAUCAUCGUUAUCAACAACAUUGGUAUUUUGAUCAUUUGACAAACUCUCUUGAUGGGUUAUAGAAUGGAUGUCUAUCCAUGUUUCAGGGACCAGUUUUGAGUCAUGAACUUGCACAGGUUGAACAAUAGGUUUUUUCCUUCAUAUAGACUUUCAAAGAGCAAAUGGUACUCUAAAUGAGUCUAUCUUGUAUCAUUGUAUCCUUUUCCAAGGGAAUAUGAGGAGAGAUUGACUCAUUUGGCUUUGUUGAGGGGGGAAUAGAAAUGAACUUUUUUGGAACAAUUGGGAAAAUAUAUGAAAUAUUGGGAAAAAAAAAAAAAACAAAAACCAAUCUUAAUCCUUAUCUUAUUUAAGUGAACUCUUCCCCAAAAAAUAAGAUCUAGUAAAAUAGCUUUCAUUUUCAACAAAGGUUACAUCAACUGAGACAAAUAUAUAUAUAUAUAUGAUUGGAGGGUGAUAACACUAAUUAAUAACCUUUUUGAGUUAAUGAGUAACCAAGAAACACACACUUGAGAGCCCUUGGAUCUAAUUUUCCUCUAUUAUGUAAAUAAAUAUGAACAAAGGACACACAACCAAAAAUUAUGAGUCAAACUAUUUUAGGUAUUAGUAUUAGUAUUAGGGAAAAAACUGAAAAUAAUUUGAAUAGGACUUUUGGAACCAAGAACCCAAGAAGAUAGCCUAUUGAUUAGAUGGGUUGCACUCAAUACUGCUUCCUCCCAAUAUUGUUUAGGAACAUGUUUUGAAAAAGUAAGGCUCAAGUGAUUGCAAGCAAAUGGCCAAUUUUCUGUUCUGCCACACCAUUUUGUUAGGGUGUGUUAACAUAGAAUGAUUUAUCAAUAGUGUAUUCUUUUCGAAAAACUAUUGACAGAUUUAGUUAAAAUAAUCCUUGGCAUUAUCUAACCUAAACCUUUUAAUACUGACACCAAAUUGAUCCUUCACCAUUUUGAAGAAAUGAGGAAAAAUGGUGCAAACAUCAUACUUGUUUUUUAAGAGAAAUAACCGUGUCACACAAGUACAAUCAUCAAUAAAUAAAACGAACCACCAAGCUCCAAAAACUCUAGGAAUUUGGGAGAGUCCCCAAACAGAUCUAUGAAUGAGUGAAAAAGAAACAAACAUUCUUUUAUUGCUUAUUGGAAAACAUCACAUUUAUGCUUGGCAAGUUCACACACCUCAAAUUGGAAAUUUUCAACACAAAUUCCUUAGAAUAAAAUUGGGAACAUGACUCUAAGAGUAUUGAAUGAAGGAUGACUAAGACAAAAAUACCGACACCAUUUUUUUUUUCUUUAUUAAAGGAACUAGACUCAGAAAACAAUGAUACAAGUAACUUAUUCUUAGUACUACUUUGCUCUUUAGAUUCUUCAAGGUAGUGAGGUCCAUCCUUCAACCUAGCACACCCAAUCAUCUUCCUCAAAUAUUGUGUAAGUUUAUUAAUAGAGAUAAGAUUGGUAGACAAUCUUGGGACAUGGAGAAUAUUUUUAAGUGUGAGUGAUCUGUUGAUAAGGAUAUCAUACCACCUAAGCCAGUUACGGUAGUUAAGGUCCCAUCGAUAGUGGCAAUUUUCCUAUUACUCAAACAAGGGUUAUAAAAAAUAAACUGAUAUGAAGACUGUGUCAUGUGCUUUGUGACUCUUGAGUCAAUAAUCCAUCAUAAACUUAUGCAAGAAAGGUCUAAAACAUUAAACACACAAGGAGUUUGAUUCUUACCAGAAAGUGCAAACGAACACAUACCUCCUCCUAAUAGUUUUUCAAAUGUCCUUAGCAAGCUUCUUAGUUUCUCAAUUGUUGAACUUUCCUUGUCCUUAAGAAUUUGCCUCAUCAUUAGGUGCUAUACUAGUCAUGUUGGUUUGCCCAUGUCAUCUCUAUUGCAUUUUUUUAGCAUUAUAGUUCUAAUUUUGCAUUUGAUGAGGCUAUCAUGUAGACAGUGGCUUCCUAUGAAGUUUUCAACACCUAUCCUUGGUAUGACAAAGCUUUUUGUAGUAAACGCAUCAUAAAUCUCUAUUCCCUAGCUUUGAUGAAUCUAAAUUCUUAUUUCCUCCAAAUUAUUGCUCUAUUCCAGAGUUUCUUCCUUUCUUUGAAGGCAAAUUUUUCACAGUAAGAGUCAAGCUUUCAAUUGGUUGAAAUUCAAUCAUCAAUCUUCUUCUUCCUUCUUUUACUCGGAUUAUAGUAAUAAUUUCAUUCAAGGUAGGUAGUUCUUCCUUGCCUAGGACUUACACUCUAACCAGGUCAAAUUCCAUAUUCAAACAGGCCAAAAUUCAUAAUUCCCCUCUCGUUCAAAGAACUUCUUUAGUAUUGUCGCAUAUUCACUGCACUUCAUUUUGAUGCAUUGAUAAUGAUCCAUUUCCUACCAUAAGGUUUUCAGUAUAUUAGAAUAUUCAAUAAUAGAUCAGCUUCCUUGCUUGGUGGCUAAGAUUUUCAUUUUAAUUACAUAAAUAUGAGUAGCAUCACGAACUUUCUAAUAGGUUUGAUGUACCAUGUCCCAAAUAUCCCCUACUGUGGUAAAAAACAUACAGGUAUCACUCACUUAUAGAGUCAUAGAACUCCACAACCAAGACAUGGCCAUGGAGUCCUCUUCAUCCCAAGCUUCAAAUUUUAGAUCAUCAUGUUGAGGACUUGUGUCAAGGAGAUGGCUCAAUUUCCCUUUUCCUUUACGAAAAGUGAGAACAAAGUGUGACCACUUCAAAAAAAGAUUUCCAACCUAUAUGUUGCUUGGACAUUCUAUAGGUCUCCAGAUGAAAAAUCAAUUCCAUUCUCCACCAUUGGUAUCUAGGGGUUAUUAAUUUUUUACAUUUCGGCAAAGAAAUUGAGACAAAAUUAAAAGUAAAGCACAUGAAAAGUUGGAAAUAAAAGUCAUGGUAGUGUUCGAUAAUGGAAAAUAUGUAUGAAAAAAAUGAGAGGAACAAAAAAAAAAAAAAAAACCAAAGGCCCAAAGACAGAAGACAAAAAGAAUGUGGCCUCUAGAAAAAUUACUCUAUUUUGGGCACCUAAAAAAGCGAAGUCCUCAAGAAGGAUAAAAACAUAUCUCCUCAUGCCCUCCACUAUCAUCAACCUUCAAACUCUCAAUCAUGUAAUUGUCUAAAAAAUCAAGGGCUCCAAUUGAACGCUCCCACAUAUCUAUUACCUAAGCAUCAUUUGCAAAAGCUAAAGCAAGAAAGAAAUGGGAAAGAAGCACUCAAUGUUAACUUUCCACAUGACCUAUCCUUCCAAAACUAAAACGCUUCUUCCAUUCCCUACAAUGAAGCAAGAUCUUUUUUUGACAACAUCCCAAGCUUUCUUAAUUAUCUUCUCCCUCACUAAAACUCCAUCCCCGUUCUUCUUUCCCAAACUUCCCUUCAAUAACUAUCUUUCUAAGAGUUUUCCUUUCUAUUGCAAAUCUCCAAGUCCAUUUACCAAUCAUAGCCUUAUUAAGAGAUGCCAAGAUUCCGAUAGUAAGCCCACCUCCUUUCUUUUCCAUGCAAAUAGCUAACCAGUCAAUAAGAUAAGGUAUAUUAACUAAAGAUCCCUCCACAAAAAAAUCUCUUUAAUCUUUUCUAGCCUCAAACUCACUUUACAAAGAAUGGGAAAUAGAGACAUGUAAUAAAUUGCAACGCUUGACAAAGUACACUUGAUCAAGGUUAGUCUCUCUCCCUUUAACAAAUAUUAUCUCUUCCAAAUUGCAAGUCUCCUUUGGAAUCUCUCUUUCACUACAUCCUAUACUGAGGUAAUCAAUAGGCAAAACAAAAAAAUUAUUAAUUAAUCUGCAAUUUCAAAUAAUCUUGAACUUCUCUCUUUCCAAAUGGUCUAAAAUAGGCACAAAUGUGAAAGCCUCCACGCCUGCCUACACUUCUACCCUACAAAACUUCCACAUCAAUGUAUAAGAAUUUCUUAAUUGAAGAAAGAAAGACACCCACUCCACUUAAAAAAUAAAGAAUAACAAAUACCACAAGAUAUUUAUUUUUUGCAUGAUGAAGAAAAUUGUGAUUAGUUAAUUCUUCAUCACUCUUACAAAGUUAGCAAGGAUUCACCAAAGUCCAUCACUCCCCCUCCUUUUUUAUUCCAAAAAGUCCAUCAUUUUUUUUUUUACUAAUCCAAAGUGAAAAUCCUCAACCAAGCCGUUUCUCGCCCUAUCUUUGUUGGAGCUCAUGAGUUCUAGAAGGCUUGAACUAAAUAUUUCUCAACCUUCUAAUCUUUCUAAGUCAACUUAUUCUCUACAUUUCUCAUUACUAAUUUUUCUUGUAGCUCCAUGGGAAAUCCCUCAACCCUAUCCAACUCCCAACGAAGACAUCUAGAGCAAUAGGAUCUCUUAUUCCCUCUCUCACUUGAUUCUUCCCAAACAUUCUUGACCCAAGCAUACUUUGAGUAGGCAAUUUUAAACAAGGGGAAAGAUACACUCAAGGAAAAUUCCAACAAGAAUAAGGGAAUAUAUCUAGCAAAGUAAAAAAACAAGCAUACUCAUACGAUAAAAUUCUUUAUCAACAAGCCCAUCCCUUAAGAAAAGUAAUACUUAUAAGUACGGUAUGGAAGAAAAUGGGGUGCAGUUCUUGCAAAUUCAAAGAAGGGUAUGACAUUGGAUUAUAGAAAAUUAUGGGAAAAUAUGAUAAACAGAUAGAACAUGCUCCACAAUAGAACAUCAUUUGAGGUAGGUGAUCAAAGGAUGGUGAAGUUUUAGAAUAAUAGGUGGUGUGCAGGCGAACCUUUAUGUGCAUGUUUCCAAUUCUUAAAUGCAUUAGCAAUAUCAAAAAAGGCUUAAAUGGUGGAUGUUUGGGAUAACCUAGGCAAGGGGAUCCACUAAAACCCAUGUUUCUCUAGACAUUUCAAUGAUUAGGAGAUUGGCAAUGUAGAGACUUUUUCACCGAGUUGCAAGGAAGGUUCAUGAAGAGAGAAGGAAAGGAUAACUUAGUAUGAAAAGCCUCAAGAAAUGGUUUUUCCUUUGUCAAAUCAUUAUAUUCUGCCCUAGAACUAGGCAACAUUUUAUUUUCCAAGAGGGCAUUAUUUAUAAUCAUGUCUAAAGUAUGUUUCUUUACUUAUUGGGAAAAAGUGUUGACAUAGGAUCGACUUCAAAAGAAAGAGCGGUUGAUGUCAAAUAGUUGUCUCAUUUGCAAGAGUGAAAAAAAAAAUCUAUUACUCGCAUCCUCCUACACUACGUAAAAGUGAAGGUACAAUGGUACCUGUUAUUCUCUUCAUUUUUCCUUAAAUGAAGGUAGCCAAGUUUCUUUUUGGUUUAAAUCUUAUGUAUGCAAGUUCAAAAAAUACUACUUUAUCAUACAAGAAGUUCCCCACAAUUAAUAGUGCAUAUUCUCACUUUCAUCGAAUUAGUGUUCAAUCAUCUACAAUAUAAUCUUCUUCUCAAAUUUGUCAAGAAGUAGCAUUGGUUUCUACUAUAGGUCAUGGUACAAGUAAUCUCUCCCGACACGGUAAAGGUUGUGACUCAUGAGGAGGCAGUGGUAAAAGUAAAGGUGAUUUGUGUUGUAUUUUUUUUAUAUAUAUAAGUAAAUUUUUGUCCCUAUUGGGACUUGAACCUGGAACCUCCCACAAACCCUCCCCAUCCUUUUACCACUUGAGUCAGACCUCAAGGGUGUAAUUUAUAUUAUAUCCAUUAUGGGCAUACUAAUCAUAUGUCUAAAAAGUGUUGUAUCAAGAUUGGUAAACCUGCUUAGGCUAACUAAGCACAUUCUAAUUGUGUAGAAAUAUAUCCUACUUCUAAAACUUUUGUCUCAAUGCUAAAGGUUUUCCUAUGUCUACAAAUGAAGAAACUAAUCAUUUUAUUAUUCCACGUAACCAAGGAUGAAAAUAUCAGUAAUUACGGAUAUAUCAGUGCUUCGAUUUUACGGAUAUAUUGGCGGAUAUUUUGGAAAAAAAUAUCGAUAAGCCUAAAAUUGAUCAAAAUUUAUAAAAAUAUAAGAAAAUUUUCAUAAAAAUGUAAUUAGAAGUAUAAUGAUAUUUUUAAGUUGUUUUAUUAAAUAAUUUGAUAUAUGUAUAAUAUGAUUUAUCAUAUUUGAUAAUAAUAUCGUAUGCAUCGAUAAAAAUAUGAAUUUUAUAAGUGUACAUUUAUUAUUAAAUUACAUCUAAUAUUAUGAUAUUUGAUUGUAAUAUGUCUAAUUUUAAAAUAUAUAUUAAUAUUAAAAUUAUGAUUCAUUUAAUUCAAUUGUAUUAAACAAUAUAAAAUAAAUUAUGAAAUAUGUAUAAUUUUUUAAUAUUUAAUUAAUUAUUAAUGAUAUUAAAAACAUUAUGAAGAAAAUUAUAUAAUUUUUAUAUUUUUGAUAAUCAAUUAAAAGAAAAUUUUGCAUUUAAUUAGAAAAUAAUGAUAAUUAAUUUGCUCUUUAAAAUAUAUUUUUUAUAUAAUGAGUUUAACUAUAUAUAUGUUUAAUGCAUAUUAUAUAUCAAGGGUGAGUUUGCUCAAAUGGUAAUAUGGAGAUAUUAUGUUGUGUAAAUUUGAAUACUUGAACAAAAACAUCACUCUGGUUUAUUUGGCCCUUAUCAACGGGAUAUAAUAGUUGACUAUUCGGCCUUGUCAACGGGAUAUAAUAGUUGACCUUUACAUUUCAUGGUGGGAAUGUAAUUGAUUUGGACCCCAGCCUCUAGGGGUUUGGUUAGAGGUUACUAGUACUAGUAGUGUUUGGUUCCGUCCACCAGGAAUAAUUUGAGGCUAGCCACCCAUUUGAAAAGUCCCACCUAACAGGGCAUUUGAUAUUUGAUAACCAGAGUAAUGAAAAAUUGAAUGGAUUUGAUUGAAUCUUAUGUGAAAGUGUUUGAAUUUGAUAUGAAAUUGGUUGGUUGAAUUUUGAAUAUAUUGGUAUUUUUGAAACUCUGAUAUUUGAUGAGAAAAAAAAAAUGAUAUCUCCUAUUUGAAAUGAAAAUAUUUGAUCCAUGAACUGCAUUAAUAUUCCUUAUUGGGCUGUGAGCUCAUUCCCAAUUGUUGAAAAAUUUUCAGGUACUCUUAGUUCGGGUGAGGAGUGAUGGCUAGGCUGAGGAAGGUCAUCAUUAGGAUUUGACUUAGGAUUUUAUGUUGGAUUUUGUUUAACUGUUAGUUAUGUUCAUUUGGAUCAUUUGAUAUUUGGAAGUUAUUUGGAAAUUGAAUUUUGAGGAUUUUAGAUUUUGUUUCGCUACUCUGAACAGGUAUUUGGUAAUUGGUAACAUCCAGUUACAAUAUGAUUGUUUGGGUCAGAUUAUACUUUAAGCUUUCCGGGUUUGAGUGUGAAAUGACCGUCACGCCCUUGGANNNNNNNNNNNNNNNNNNNNNNNNNNNNNNNNNNNNNNNNNNNNNNNNNNNNNNNNNNNNNNNNNNNNNNNNNNNNNNNNNNNNNNNNNNNNNNNNNNNNAACAGUUUGAUCCAUGCAUUAGUAAUAAAAUAUCAUUUUCUUUUCCACAAUUCAAAAUAACAUAUAAAAUAAUUUAAUUUUAUAAAUAUUGCAUUAACUUCCCUUACUGGGUUGUGAGCUCAUUCCCAAUUGUUGAAAAUUUUUCAGGUACUCUUAGUUCGGGUGAGGAGUGAUGGCUAGGCUGAGGAAUGGUCAUCAUUAGGAUUUGACUUAGGAUUUUAUGUUGGAUUUUGUUUAACUAUUAGUUAUGUUAUUUUGGAUCAUUUGGUAUUUGGAAGUUAUUUGGAAAUUGAAUUUUGAGGAUUUUAGAUUUUGUUUCCGCUACUCUGAGCAGGUAUUUGGUAAUUGGUAACAUCCAGUUACAAUAUGACUGUUUGGGUCAGAUUAUACUUUAAGCCUUCGGGUUUAAGGUGUGAAAUGACCGUCAUGCCCUUGGAGUGGGUCUUGGGGCGUGACAGAGUGGUAUCAGAGCCGAUCCCCGACCCCGGUGUGGGGGUUUGUUUGUCUGUUUGGCCCCGCAAUCUCAUGGGACACAACGAGGACGUUGUGUCUGCAUGAGGGGGUAUUUGUGAUGUCCCACAUCGGAUAGGGGAGCAAGUUCCUGGCACUAUAUAUGUAAAGACUCCCCUUAACCAAGUAGACGCGUUUUAAUUUUGUGAUGUCCCACAUCGGAUAGGGGAGGAAGUUCCUGGCGCUAUAUAUGUAGAGGCUCCUCUUAACCAAGUAGACGCGUUUUAAAGCUGUGAGGGCCUCAUUGGGCCCAAAGCGGACAAUAUCUACAUGGUUGGGUGCGGGUCGUUACAAAUGGUAUCAGAGCCGAUCCCCGACCCCGGUGUGGGGGUUUGUUUGGCUCCGUAAGGGGUGUUUGUCUGUUUGGCCCCGCAAUCCCAUGGGACACAACGAGGACGUUGUGUCUGCAUGGGGGGGGGUGUUUGUGAUGUCCCACAUCGGAUAGGGGAGAAUGUUCCUGGCGCUAUAUAUGUAGAGACUCCUCUUAACCAAGUAGACGCGUUUUAAAGCCGUGAGGGCCCUCUUAGGCCCAAAGUGGACAAUAUCUACAUGGUUGGGUGCGGGUCGUUACAAUUCAAAUCCCCUCAACAACAAAAGGUUUUUCAGGCACUGUAGCGCGUUGACCAAAUGAUAUAUCGGGAAAAUCGGCAAUUUAUCGCUGAUAUAUUGCGAGAUAUCGCCGAUUUUUGGAUAUUUCUCCCGAAAUAUCGUCGGACCGAUAUUUCUCCAUGAAGUAUCGUAUCGAUACCCUCCGAUACACAAUAUAUCGCCGACAUAUUGCGAUAUUUUCCUCUUGCACGUAACCAACCAACUAAUCUACCAUCUUUUAUAUCCAUAACCACCCUAGUCCAAUUAGGAAUGCCAAUAACCUUUCUUUCCACCUCUAACUCUUCCUCUGUUUGGCCUUUUCAAUUUGGCAACUAAACCUUUCAUAACCAACACAAAAAGAUAGGGUGAAAAAUGAUCCUCUAUCUCAAGCCUCUAAAGGUUAAGAAGAAAUUUAUACGAGUGUCAUUGACAAUGACUACCAUUCUCACAGAAGAUAUGGAAAAGUGAAUCCAUUCUUGCCAUUUGUAACCAAUGCCCAUAUUUUCUAAGACUAAAAGGAAAAACUCCUGCUUUACGUGAUCAUGAGCUUUUUCUAUAUCCAAUUUGCAAACUAAGCCCAUAUUGGAAUGUUUCUUCCUUGAAUCAACAACCUCAUACAUGGUUCAAAGUCAUUCUAAGUCAUUGACCCGGAGGGUCCAAAGGCACAUCAAUCUCAAUAUCUUAACUCAAUAUCAGGCAAUACACAAAAUAUGAUAAUUAAAAAAUCAAUAAAUUAUAAAAUUAUUAUGAAAUUAUUAGAUAAAUAAAUACAAUUAAAUAAGUUCAAAUAAGUUCAAAUCAUUAAAUCAUAAUAUUUAUAUCAUAUUAGUAAAUCCUACAAUAUGAUUAAAUCCACAUUUGAAGUAUAUGAGAAUACCACACCAUUAGCAUGCAAAAUAAUAUAUUGUCAGCUCAUAUUAAAGUCAAACCACACCAUUGACGUAUAAAAUAAUACACCAUAUAUGGUAAAAUUACCAUAUCAAAUAACAAAUCACCUAAUCUACUCUGAUUUAAUUCCUCUUACACAUAUAAAAUAAUAAACUAUUACUAUUUAAAAUAACACAUCACCAAUUACCAAAUCUACUUCACAUUCCUAAUUCCCAAACACCACAAUAAAAGGCAAAGAAAUAAGAAGGGCAUACUCAAUCACCCACAUCAUGUAGACCAUGCAGACUAGAAGUAAAGAGAAAGACGACAACGACAUGUAACAAUCACCAAGCUCAUUGCUAAUGAAGGAAUAUAAUGUCUCUCACCACAACAACAUCGUCAACACCAAAGCACUGAAUGAUCGUUGUGGGGUUAGUAAUGAAAUGCCCUCAGCCUGUUUCCUCUUCUUACAAACCUAAAACCCAAUCACAGGUUAGAUUGAUCAUUUAAUUUCUUAUUUAUUCUUUUUCAUCUCAAGGGUCUUUAAGUUUUUCCUUUUAAGAGAAUCUAUAAUUUUUCAAAGUUUUCUCUAUUUUAAUGUUUUUUUAUAAUUUGAAGCAAUAAAAAUGAUUUUUGGUUUUAACUCAAGUUUAACUUGGGAAUAAUUUGAUGACUCGAACAAUCUAAUCGAUUCAAUGUGGAAUCUCAAUCAAGCCAAUCAAGUUUAAUAGAUUCAUGUCCAACUCUAUGUUUAGGAUAGUAUCAGAUAUCAGAGUCAAUGCGAAAAGUGUCAAGGUCGAGUUGUACUAGACUCAAUCAAUGCUUUGAACCAUAAUCUCAUUUGCAUCUAAACUACAUCAAGAAUCCUUUUAAACCCCUUUGCCCCAACCCUUUCCCUACUAGACCAUGCAAACCACUAUUUUCAAAGUAUUAGCUAGAAUGAGAACCAAAAAUGCCACAUUGACGCUAUAAACCAUGGAAUCCUUCAAAUAAAAUUCCUUGAAUAGUUGCAUCACUUCCUUUCCUACCAUAGGCCAACAAAACUUCUAAAAAGCCAUUGAGAAACAAUCCAACCCUAGUGCAUUAUCUCCCCCCAAGUCUAAGAGUGCUAUGAUCACCUCAUCAUCCCGACAGGCCCCUUUAAACAAUCUCUAUCUAACAAAGCAAUGCACUUGAAGAACUCUACUACCAUGUCAAGUCUUCUCACUUGGGGAUUUUCAAAAUGGGUCCUUCCUACAUUUCAUCAAUCGUCCAUGAAGGGCUAAAGUUUGAUUUUGCAUGGUAGUUUUUCUCUUUUGAACCUUUUGAAGGUUUUUAUAUACAUCCUAUGCACUUGGGUUGCACAACACACCCUUUCACAAAGGGCCGGCCUAUUAAUACAUAUUCCUUGUUUACCUAUUAAAAAACAACGAUAAUAAUUUUUUCUAAAAGAAAAAUUACAAAAUUUAUUUUCUUAAGAACUAUUAAAAUUAGUCGAAUAUCAUUAUGUUGUAUGUAUCAUGUGUGCGUCAUAUGUGUCAUGUGUAAAACAUCAUGUACUAUUUAAUACACACAUAGUAGAAAAUGUAUCUACCAUAUCAUGUGUCACAUAUGUAAACUGAAGAUAUAAACUGCCAAUUAAUAUGUAUCAUUCUACAUGAAGAAUGCAUCUUACUGUAUUUACCAAAUCAUCUACCAUAAGUUUUCAACUAUGAAUACGAUCACAUGACAUGUGGAAAUUAACUCUUUUGCUCCUGCACAUUUUAACAGGUGACCCCUUUACAAGAACAAAGUUAAUCUCACAAAGAAACACCGGAUGGUCUACUUUUUCCUUGUGAAAGAAAAAGUAGAUGCCACAAAUAUAAGUUGUCUAAUUUCUCUAAGUUCAAUUACCAGGGGAUUAACAUUUGCUAGGCCAAGACCUUCACCAGAUGCCAAAAAUACCUCUUUCUCAACUGUCUCGCCGUCUCCAAGCCAUUUCAAAAUCUCUUGAGGGUGGAAGAGCCACAGAACCUUUAUUUUCUCUGCCUAAUCUAGAUGUUCCCAUAUUUUUAUAAGUUUGCCUAUAUAAGGCUCAGGUUCAAAUUCCUUACAAGUAAAAGACUCAUAAAAUUGAACCUCUUUCUUUUUUCCACCAACACCUCUUUUUCUGCCCCCACUUUGUCCACUUCUGCCAAGUGAGACAUAGCAGCCUCUCUUUAUGUCAAGUGGUUGAUAGACAAUGUCAAAAAGCUGGAGCCUGAAACCAGCAACAAAUUCAUUUUGAGAAAAUUUGUGAUCAAGAACCAGGAGCAAUCAGAGCGAUCAAACUGCGAAAAUCCACAAAGACAAUUCCUAAUUAUUUCUGCAUUACUGCGAAUCUAACCGUUCAAUUUUAAAACCCGUGUCAUAAUUCAUUGGAGAAGUCUCUGAAAAAUCAACGAUUACCUUCAAAGCGAAAGGUUCAACAAUCGUUAAGACCCGUGACUCCGAGAAUCUGAGUCUUCAACCCAUUAGUCGCCUUGGCCACCUUGAAAAUUGAAAUUGGUACCGGCGGCGGCGGCGGCGGCGGCGGCGGCGGCGGCGGCGGCGGCGGCGGCGGCGGCGAAUGAUCGAUGCCAGCUUCUUUCCACCGGCAUCGGGUUCCAUCGCCGGCAACGAGUUCGGGAACUGUGCAGCGUUACGCUCUCCUCUCUGUUUGCUUGGUGGUUUGGAAAUUCACUCAAUCGGCGACUUGAUCAGGUAAUACAUGGAAGGAUUUAAUGAUACGAUUUAGGAAUUCAAAACUGAUUCGGUAAAGUUAAUAUUUAUAGCAUAUGAUAUUAUUCAUGAAUUCGUGCAUUUAUAUAAUGAAAUUUGAUAUUGGUGACUUUAUCGAGUUUUUGUAAAGUUUAACUUUAUAUGGUAAUAAUAUGUAUUAAUGGUUUAACUUCGAGUAGUAGAAACUAGAAAGUGCUUUUAAUCUUUUUAAUACUUUAAAUAUUUUAUCAAGUAUUAAAAAAAGGGAUAAUUGUGUUUUGGGUCCAACCCAAAAAUUAAUAUUUGGUCCAAAUAACUUACAUAAUUAAUAAAAAUGAUAUAAGAUGUUAAAUACCAAUAUACCCUUCAAAUUUCCACAUAUUACCUUUUAAGGAUAUAAAAUAAUAAUGGACUAAAAUGCCCAAUGGUAUUUCACAUAAGCUUUUUUAAAAUUUGUAUUUUAACAAUUCUUACACCACUAUUCAUGCAACCAUAAUAAUUCUAUUUUAACAAUUUGGAUUUUUCAUUAUUUUUAAUUUUUUUAUAUAAAUAAUUGAAAAUCAACAUUAUUUUCUAUUUUAAAUUAUAAAUAAAGAAAAAUUAUGUUCAAAAACUAUUUUAAUUUGGUUAAAUCAUUUUGUGAAAUAUUAAUCAAGCCUCUUCCACCAGCCAUUUUGCUACUUUUACAAAAGACUUAUUCCACUAAUAAUGUAUUUUUUUAUACUUAAAUUUAAAUUUAAUUAUUUAAUUAAAUUUUAAAAAAAUUAAUAUUCAUCUCUUUUGUGAUUGUAUUUGAAUAUCUUUUAUUUUAAAACAUUUAUAUUUAUUAAAUGAUUAUAUUAAUAGGUCAAAUUAUAUCUACUUUUUAAAGUGAAGAUAAGGUUAAAUUUUAUUUAUUAUUUAAAAAUAAUAAUAUUUCAAAUUGUAAUUCAAUAACGUACCAUCUAUAUUAAAAUUAAAAUUGGAAAUAAGUUUUAUAAUAAAUUAAUAAAUUCUUUAUUUAUUUUCCAUAUUUUUAUUAUUUUUAAUAAAAAAUUCAAUAUUAAAUAAAAAUGAAUUAAUUAUUUCUUCAUUAGAUUAAUCAAUUAUAAUAAAUAAAUUAUAAUUAAUUUAAUUUAUUUUAAUUAUUUAAUAAAAAAACAUUUUUUAUUAUUUAUUGAAUUUUAAAACUAAAAUAAUAAUCUUAUUCAAAUAAAAUUUAUAAUUCUUACAAAACUAAAAAAAAAAAUAUAUGUUUUUCUCUCAUAUUUUCCUUUAUUCAUGGUUUGAUGUUGGUACGAAAGUGAAGAUAUUUAUAAGAAAAAUAGAUCUUAAUGUUGUGACAUAUGUUAUAAUUAGAAAAUAAGUAUAUUUUAAAUUAAAAAAUUAAAUUUUAAAUUUGGUAAAUAUUAAUUUCCUCAUCAUUAUUAUUUGUCUAUAAUGAAUAUUUUUUAUUUUAAUUAAAAAUAAAAAUAAAAAGGAUGUGAUUGAGAUUUUCCUUUUUUUAAAAUAUAUUAUUUUAUUUAAAUAAGUGUAAUUAUUUUAUGCUCUAUAAUUUCUUUAUUUUUCAUUUUUCCAAUUCAAGAAAAUCUAAUUUUGAGAGGAAAAAAAAUUAAAAUUUAAUAUAAUUUUAUAAUCAUUUACGAUAAUUAAAAAUAAUUAUCUAGGAAUAGUUUUUAUUUUAUAUAAAUAAAGAAAUUAUUUAUAGAAAAAAAAAGAAAAAAAUAGUGGAUAUGAUGCACAAUGUUUUCAGAACUGGAUCGAACAUUUGAUCGAAAAAAUUACUAGUUCAUGGUUUACUAGUCGGAUUGGUGAUUGAAGUAGUCCUACGUCAUAAAUAUACGAUUAAUAUUUUAUUAAAAUAAAAGAUAAUUUUAAAAUAUAUAUAAUUAAAUUUUAAUAAUAUUUACGAUAUUAUUUAUUUAUUUUUAUAUAAAUGUAUUAAUAUUUUAAAUUUAUUAAACAAAAUAUAUAUAAUAUUUAAAUAUGAAAAUAUAUUGAAAAUGGUAAAAAAGAAAAUUGUAUUAAACUAUUUAAGUAUGAAAACAUUGAAAAUGAAAAAAAAAAUUAUGUAAUUUAUAUAUGUAUAAAUUAUUUUUUGAAAUAAAUCCUAACACUAGAUAAGGUUGCUGCAGACGUCUAUCAAUUUAACUAAAACUCCCUUCACCAGAAGGGAAUCUCUUAAUGAACAGAGGAAAAGUUUGAGUAAUCACAAUAGUGACAUCAACUCAAUGAUAAACAUGAAGGGUUGGGUCAUGAUCACCACUUGGAAGUCACUAUUGCAGCAGUUGUCUGUGUAUUCACUUCUUAAAUGAUCAUCUUAAGGGUGAAGUAUCCCAAAGAAUCGGAUAUCCGGGCAGUGAUGGCAAUGCGAUUGUCGCCUACUGUUGACUAGGUUUUGGUCUGCAAAGAUAUCCAGAGGUUUGGCAACCGUCCAUUAUUAGGCAAGAUCUACUUAUGGUUGUAAUCAACUGUUUGACGUAUAGGAUGACGAUAACCUUAUAUUUUCCUGCCUAAUUUUUUAGACAUUUGGCUAUGAUUAAUCGGAUCUCCUCUAUCAUCUACCCACCCAGUGAAAAGGAUUUGCCAUUUAAGCUUCGAAGGGUUGUUGAAAAGGUCCUGUCUGUGGUAUUGGUCAUUACCUGUCUUACUAAUUAAACUUGAUGUCCUUAUGCUAAAGAAUAACUACCCUUCUGUGAAUCGUUAUACUCUGGGAACUUUGUGAAGAUUGCUUUAUACUUAAGAGCUGCGGAGUCUUUAAGAAACAUUCUCAUGUAUUGUUAGUUAAAUAAGAGUUAUCCAUGUUGAAACUAACCAUGACUAAGCUGAAUAUAUAUACUGAAUAUGACCUUGGGAAAUUUUUUGUAGACCUUGCUUGGUGAGACCCAGUAGAAAUGUGAGCUUCCCAUGCUUUAAUGGUGCCAUCACAGUGCAGAGGUCGUAAGAGCAGGGGAGCAUAGUCAAAAGAUCAACAUCCGAUAAUGAUUGAUGAUUAACAAGUUGUCGCCUUCUGUUGUGCCAUUCAAACCUUGGAUUGAGAGAAGCCGGGGAUAAACCGAUGUUGAAAGUUGGAUAAUAAUCGAUCUCUCGUUUCAUUUGAGUCGUGGCAUCUCCUCUUCCACAAUAGAAAUGCUAUCAAAUCUUUCCAACUAACAAUAAACUCAGAUAAAUAAAUAAAUAUCGAAGGAAGUCCGCAUGAAGAUGUUGACUCAACUACAUAGAAUUUGAAGAUGAAAAAGGAGUGAGAAUCUCUUGAGUAUCUUGGAUGUUCCGGGGUUGAUUUUUAUCUUGCCAUAUUCCACCAUGGAGACAGGAACUCUUGAAGGUUUUCAUAUUCAUUGCUCUCUAAUAAAUAGGGAAUUGCAUUGAUUUUGUGAGCUUUCUUAACAGCUCAAGCUUUAGGAGCAUGGUUUAAUAAGACUUGCUGGUAUCUCAAUUUCUUUGGCUUAACUUUCCUGCCUGUAUAAGAUUUAAUAUUGUUAAGUUGCAGAGAUGGACUUGGCCCCUACUGAAAAAGUGGUUUUAGGCUCAAUAGCCUUUGCAAUCUUCUGGGUUUUGGCAGUGUUCCCAGCAGUUCCUUUUCUACCCAUUGGUAGGACUGCAGGGUCUCUCCUAGGAGCCAUGCUCAUGGUCAUCUUCAGGGUCAUAACCCCAGAUGAAGCAUAUGAUGCCAUUGACCUCUCAAUCCUUGGCCUUCUUUUUGGAACUAUGGUCGUGAGCGUCUAUCUUGAACAAGCUGAUAUGUUCAAAUACUUGGGUGUACUGCUUUCAUGGAAGAGUAAGGGUGCAAAGGAUUUGCUUUGCCGGAUAUGUGUAGUUUCUGCCAUUUCAAGUGCACUCUUCACCAAUGACACCAGUUGUGUUGUGCUGACAGAGUUUGUUCUGAAAAUAGCUAGGCAGAAUAAUGUCCCUCCCGGUCCCUUCUUAGUGGCCUUGGCCUCGAGCGCAAAUAUUGGAUCUUCUGCAACUUCAAUUGGUAAUCCCCAAAACUUGGUCAUUGCCAUCAAGAGUAGCCUCUCUUUUGGGGAAUUCUUGUUGGGACUCCUCCCUGCAAUGCUGGUGGGUGUUUUCGUCAAUGCUUUGAUCCUUCUAUGCAUGUAUUGGAGACUGCUGUCUAUUGAAAAGGAUGAAGAACAUACUUUGGAUGAAGUGAUUUCCGAGGAAGAUUCGGCUUCCCACCGCUUCUCACCUGCAGCCAUGUCAAAUCCCACAGCUUCAAAUUCUCAAGAAUUGAAUCCUGUGUUGGAACCAAUGAUUACCUGGAGCUCCUCAAGUUCAAAUGGGAGCACAAUCCAUACUGAGACUCUUAGAAAUAGAGUAAGUUCAAAACAGAGCAAUUUGCAGGGGACUUUGAGUGGUAACAUUGAGUUAACAAGGAAUUCAAGUGCUUACGAAGAGGGGGUGGGUGGUGAUGAUUUCCCUGAACCGAGGGAGGAAGAUUUUUAUUAUAGAAGACUUGAGGGAGACCCUGUCCCAAUGCAGCCUCUGGAAGAAAAUGAAAGGUCGGCCAAGCCAUGGAAAAGACAGCUAUGGAAAACACGUGUUUACCUUGUUACAAUUGGCAUGCUGAUAGCAUUGCUUGUUGGUCUAAACAUGUCAUGGACAACCCUUACUACAGCACUUGCUCUUGUGGUUCUCGACUUCAAGGAUGCUCAGCCAUGCCUACAAAAGGUAGAAUCUAAAAGUUUUGAUCCAACUACAUUCCUGAAAUAUCAACUAGUAUAUACCUAAGGCUCCUUUGAGCUACUAAAUUGUCAUAGUUCCUAAUUCCAUCUCUUUUUUGAACCAGGUUUCAUAUUCUCUCUUAAUCUUCUUUUGUGGCAUGUUCAUCACAGUGGAUGGCUUUAACAGUACAGGAAUACCUAGCACUCUCUGGAACCUAACCGAGCCUUAUGCACGAAUCAAUCAUGUUGGAGGGAUCGUAGUUCUUACCUUAGUCAUUCUUGUCCUCUCAAAUGUUGCUUCAAAUGUGCCUACUGGUAAGUCCAUGAUAUAUAGUAUAUACCAUCAAAAUUGUUGUUGAAGCAAGAGUUUCCACCUCUUUUCUCUUCAACGGAAGCCAUCUUUAAAGGACAUAAUAGACCAGAGAUUGAAGGAGUAAUAUCCAUAGUGGGGGAAACCCCUUCAAACCAAGGAUUUUGAGGAAGAUGACUUCCAUUGACACAAAUGAAACUUCUGACCAAAAAACCAAUGUAGUGUAUUAGUCCUAGCAUGAGUUUGUGUAACAUUAAUGGUUACAUAAUGUUAGGGUGAAUUUACAAUAUUCCAACAAACACCAGGAUUUUUUUACCAUUUCUUUGUGUAAAAUUACAUAGGUAAUAGCAACUAGCAACAAUAAAUAAACAAACUCAUGCAACGGAAAAAUAAAUCAGACACCAGAAUUUUUUACAUGGAAAACCCCCCCAAUGUGAAAGGGAAAACUACGAGAUCUAGUCCAAUUCAAACUUCCACUAUCAACAAUAACGGGUUACACCUGUCUUCUCUAGAAUAAUCUCUAAAGGGUGUCAAAUACAUCAAGAGCACAUAUAGCCUUGGAUUAUAUCAUCUCUCUUGGCAAAAAAAAAACAAGGAAAAUUGGAGAAAGAAUACCCAAAAACACAUUGUUACUGUUCACGGGCAAUAACACUAGUUUUCGAGCUCAAAAUAUGAUCUUUACCAUUCAGAUUGUAGCUACUCGAGUUUCGAACCUCUCCUCCAAAUUUCAACUUGAUUGAACCACAAAUGAAGCAAGAUCGGUUUGUUAAUGAAUCUAGGUAUAUGUGUUUUUUUUUCUUUCUCUCCUCUUCUCUCUAAUUUUUUUUCUUUUCCCGAUCAUUUUUUUUUUAAUGUAAUUGACUUGGGCCCCAAGAAUAUGGGGCCUGCUCCCUCACAUACAAGGGAGCCCAACAAAUCUCCCCCUCCCGACUAUGUGAGGGGCUCUACCAAGCCCGCUUACUUUCUACAAAAUUGUAGUUUCUCUAUAGGUACUAGUUUUGUCAUCAUAUCUUAUCCAUUCUAAUCAAUAUGGAUUUUCUCAAGGCAAAACAAUUUCAUCUCUAGUGCAUCACGAAUCCAAUGAUAUCUCACAUCAAUGUGCUUGGAUCUAGAGCGAAAAGUUGGAUUCUUACUGAGAUGAAUAGUACUCUGACUAUCACAUUAAAGUAGAUACCUUUCUUAUUGUAAACCCAAUUCUUGUAGGAACUUCUUCAUCCACAAUAACUCCUUGUUAGCUUCAGCAAUAGCAAUAUACUCAGUCUCUAUGGUCAAUAAAGCAAUACAUUUCUGCAACCUUGAUUGCCAUGACACUGCUCCUCGUGAAAAAGUGAUCAAAUAACCAAAAGUAGACUUUUGGGAAUCAACAUCCCCUGCCAUAUCUGCAUCUGUGCAUCCUACAAGCACAUGUUUGUCAGUCCCAAAACAUAAACAUGUCUUAGAAGUACCCCUCAGAUACCUAAGAAUCCAUUUCACUACAGCUUAGUGUUCUUUGCCAAGAUUAGAAAGGAACCUGUUGACAACUCCAACAGCAUGAGCAAUAUCAGGCCUCGUGCACACCAUGACAUACAUCAAGCUACCCACGGCUGAUGCAUAGGGCACCUUUCACAUUUCUUCAUUUUCUUUCUUACUUGAAGGACUUUAUUUGGAACUUAGCUUUAGAUGACUUCCAAGUGGAAAACUCACUGGUUUUGCCUUGCCCAUGUUGAACUUGUCUAAAACCUUCUCAAUAUAGCUUUCUUAAGAUAGCCACAAUUUUCUAUUUGUCCUAUCUCGAGAAAUAUUUAUACCAAGAAUCUGACUUGCAGGCCCCAAGUCCUUCAUUUCAAAGGACUUGCUCAACUCUUUUUUAAGUUUAUCAAUUUUAUUAGUAUCACGACCAACAAUUAGCAUGUCAUCCAUAUAUAGCAAGAGAAUAAUAAAUCCUCCAUCAGAGAAUUUCUUCACAAACACACAAUGGUCAAAAGUAGUUUUAUCAUACCCAUGCUCAACCAUGAAAGAAUCAAACUUCUUGUACCACUGUCUCGGUGCCUGCUUGAGACGAUACAAGUUCUUCUUUAGUUGACACAUUGAGUGUUUCUUGCCUUUGAUUGUAAACCUUUCUGGUUGCUCCAUAUAUAUUUCCUCCUCUAGGUCACCAUGGAGGAAAGCAGUCUUCACAUCAAGCUAUUCAAUCUCUAGAUUCAUACUGGCAGCCAAGCCUAACACAACUCGGAUCGAAGUCAUCUUAACCACGGGUGAGAAAAUAUCUUUAAAGUCAAUGCCUUUCUUCUGACUAAAACCCUUCACAACCAAUCUUGCCUUGUACCUUAGUUAUGAUCUGUUUGGUUCAGGCUUCUUUUUCAGUACCCAUUUAUUUUUCAAUGUUCUUUCACCUUUAGGCAACUCCAUCAAUUCAUAAGCGUUGUUCUUAUGCAAUGAUUUCAUCUCUUCAUGCAUAGCUCUCGACCACUCUUUUUUUCUCAUCAUGCAAUAAAACCUCUUGAUAACUUUCUAACUCUUCCCCAUCAGAAAGCAACAAAUACUCAUCACUAGUAUACCUUUUGGAAAGUUGACACUCUCUAGUAGAUCUUGUUAAUUGUGUUUCAAUAGGCAACUCUGAAGUAGCUUGUUCUUGCUACUGUUCUAGGCCAUCAUUCUAAAUUGUAGGAUUUUCUUCUACAUCAUCAACUACAAACUCAUCAUUGCUGUUAACUGUAUCAACCUGUUCUUCUUGCACAACUUCCCUGUGUUCAUUAUGUUCCAUAGAGUUAGGAGAGAUUGGACCCAAAUCAAUUUGUUCUUCACUGAAAGACUUUGGCUUCUUAACUUAAUCCAAAUCUUCAAUGGUUUGAUCUUCAAAAAAGACAACAUCUCUGCUUUUUAUAAUCUUUUUGGUAGUUGGAUCCCAUAACCUGUACCCAAACUCUUCAUUUGAAUAACCCAAGAAGAUACACUGUUUAGUCUUCCUGUCAAGCUUGGAUCGCUCAUCUCUAGGAACAUGAACUAAUGCCCUGCAGCCAAACACUCUCAAGUGCUCAAAGGAAACAAAUUUUCCUGUCCAAACCUUCUUUGGAAUAUCACCCUCUAAAGGAUAUGAUGGAGACAGAUUAAUCAAAUCAACAGUUGUCCUCAUGGCCUCACCCCAAAAAGAUUUAGGCAAUUUUGCAUGAGAGAGCAUACUCCUGAUUCUAUCACAAAUGGUUUUAUUCAUUCUCUCAGCUACACCAUUUUGCUAUGGGGUCUUAGGAACCGUCUUCUCAAGCCUGAUGCCAUGACUUCUGCAGUAUUGCUCAAAUGGCCCCCUAUAUUCACCACCAUUGUCUACUAUGACAGAUUUUAACUGCUUGUCAGUUUGCCUCUCAACCAUCACAUGAAAAUCUUUGAAUACAUCAAGAACCUGGUCUUUGGAUUUCAAAGCAUAUGCCCACACCUUUCUUGAAUGAUCAUCAAUAAAAGUCACAUAAUAAAGUGCACCACCAAGAGUAUUACUUUGCAUAGUACAAACAUCAGUGUGAACUAAAUCAAGAAUAUCUGGUUUUCUAUGUGAAGGAAAUCUACAAAAUGCAACUCUACUUUGCUUUCCAAAUAGACAAUGUGUACAAGAUAAUAAUGAUGUACCUUUAAUUAGUAGAAGUUUCUUUCUGGCAAGAACCUGAAGUCCAUUUUCACUCAUGUGACUAAGCCGCUUAUGUCAUAGCUUGAUAAAGGCUUCAUUCUCAACAAAGUUCACCUCUCCCUUGACUAGUCUCGCUUCUGUCUUGUAAAGAGUAUUGUUUUUCUUCCCCUUAGCUAAAACAAGAGAAUCCUUAGUAAGUUUCCUCUUACCCUCUCCAAGGUGACUAUGGUAGCCCUCAUCAUCAAGUUUCCCAAUAAAGAUCAAACUAAAGCGCAUUUCAAGAACAUGUCUAACAUCUUUCAUAAUCAAUUUGCACCCAAUGCUAGUUUCUAGUUCUACAUCUCCCAUGCCAACAAUUUCACAUUUUGCUUCAUUUCCCAUCCUAACCCAACCAAAACUGCCACUGGUGUAAGAAGAGAAGAAAUCUCUACGUGCAGUGAUAUGAAACGACGAUGUUGUAUCAACCACCCAAGUGGAAUCCUAGCAUGCAAGGUUUGCACACACAUCAUUACAAACAAUGAUCGUAUCACCAUCAGAUGCAACUGCUGCAAUGUUUUUGUCCUCUUUCUAUUCUUCACAUUUUCCUUUAAACUAUUAUCUUCUGAAUUUUCUACACUCUCUCUUAAUGUGCCCUAGCUUGUCACAAUAUAAACACUUUAUUUCUUUUCGGGACUUUGACUUUCCCUUGACUUGCCACGAUUAUAAUCACUAGAAGGUUUUCUGUUUUUACUUCUCCCCCGCCUCUUUGUAACAAGUGCUUCUGUAUUAGAGGAAAUACCUAAUUUUUUUCUUCUUACCUCUUCAUUAAACAUAUUGUUUUUUAUCAUGUUGAUAGUUAUCACACCAUUUGGGUCUGAAUUACUCAAAGAUACCACCAAAGUUUCCCAACUAUCUAAUAAGGAACUCAACAAAAGUAAAGCAUGUAUCUCAUCAUCUAGCUCAAGCUUCAUGGUAGACAAUUCAUUCAAUAGUCCUUGAAAAUUACUAAGAUGUUUUGCAACACUAUUACCAUCCUUGUACUUUAAAUCCACAAGUCUUCUUAUCAUAAAAGCAUUGUUUUGUGCAAUCUUUCUUUCAUAAAAACUCUCUAAUUUCUGCCAAUGGUUAUAUGCAUCAACUUCCUUGGCUACAUGAUGGAAGACACUCUAAUCAACCAAUUGCCUAAUCUGUCCAAUGGUUUUCCUAUUUUAUUUCUUCCACUCAUCCUCAAUUGUAGUAACUAACUUAUAACCCCUAUAUUCAUUGGGCUCAAACAACUCUUUGCAAUAUAGAAUAUCCUUUAUCCUAGUCUUCCAAAUUGAAUAAUUGGAAGUUGUGAGUUUAAUCAUUCCACUGCCAACCUCCUCAAUUUAAUUCAUACAAGAGAUCUCAUUGUAAAUCAACUUGGCUCUAAUGCCACUUGUUAGGGUGAAUUCAUAAUAUUUCAACAAACACCAAGAUUUUUCUAUCAUUUAUUUGUGUAAAAUUAAAUAGGUAAUAGCAAUUAGCAGCAAUAAAUAAAUAAUCUUAUGCAACGAAAAAAUAAAUCAAACACCAGAAUUUUGUACGUGGAAAACCCCCCAAUGCGAAGGGAAAAACCACGGGAUCUAGUCCAGUUCAAACUUCCAUUAUCAACAAUAAUGGGUUACACCUGUCUUCUCUAGAAUAAUCUUUAGAAGCUGUCAAAUACAUCAAGAGCACAUAUAGCCUUGAAUUAUAUAAUCUCUCUUGGCAAAAAAACAAGGAAAAUUGGAGAAAGAAACCUAAAAACACGUCAUUACUAUUCACGGGUAGUAACACCAGUUCCCGAGCUCAAAAUAUGAUCUUCUCUAUUCAAAUUGUAGCUACUCGAGUUUCGAACCUCUUCUCCAAAUUUCAACUCAAUCGGACCACAAAUAAAGUGGGAUCGGCUUAUUGAUAAAAUCUGGAUAUAUGUGUUUUUUUUUUUUUUCUUUCUCCCUUCUCUUGUCUCUAUUUUUUUUUUAAAAUGUAACUGAUUUGGCCCCAAGCAUAUGGGGCUCACUCCCUCACAUACGAGGGAGCCCGACACAUAACUUGAAGAUAUCUGUUUUUUGUAGUUAUUUUGCUUGGAGCAAGAGUGGCAGCAUCAGCAGCAAUGAUAUCUAAGGGCCAAGAGAAAAGGGCAUGGUUGAUCUUAGCAUGGGUGAGCACGGUUGCUGGAAACCUUUCGCUGAUGGGGUCAGCUGCAAACCUGAUAGUGUGCGAGCAGGCUCGUCGUUCUCGGUUCUAUGGCUACACUCUCUCUUUCUGGAGCCACCUCAAGUUUGGUGUUCCUUCAACUCUCAUAGUCACAGCCAUUGGCCUACUCCUCAUAAGGGGUUGAGCAAUGUCAAUACGUAUAUCUAUAUCAAAGGCUAAGAACUAAACUUUCCAUAUUGUUCCAUUGCCCAUGCUACAGUCUCACAGCACCAACUCCAGAGUCCAAAGCCAAUGUGUCAUGUACUAUGUUUUCAUGGUUUUUCCUCUGCUUUCCCAGGAACCAAACAGAUGUUGAUUUUGUGAAAUUCGAUGAAGUGGAAAAUAUUAUGGAAGCCCAUUUGAACAGAGGGGUGCCGCAGUCCAUUUUAACUGGACCAUGAAUAAGAUCUGCAACAACUGAAAUCAAUCUGUGGUUUCUAAUAGAAUCUGAAGCAGCAGUACUUCUCAGAAAAGUUCUUAUACAUGAGUGGAUUUUCUUUUUUGUCUUUUUAGCCAUUUUCAUCGGGGAAAUUGGAUGAAAUUAAUUCAGCACACCAGUGAAUUUGAACAGGCUUAUCCCUAAAGCUUCUGCCAUAAAUUCAGCAAUUCAAAGAAACUCAAGACAUGAAAGAACAAGAAAGGUUCCUUAUCUUGCAAAAUUAAUCCAGCUUUUUUCUUUGCUUUAUAAUCUUAUAAGUUAAUUUGGUAUCAUAAUGUAGUCGUUAAUACUUUUAUUAUUUAAAUAUUAUCUGUGCAAAAUUUAAAUUAAAAAUAUAUUCAAACAAACUCUGGGUCUCUUUUAUUUUUUUACAUAUUUUCUUUCUCAUUAUUCAUUUUACAUAAUUCUUUUUUUUUUCUUUGUGAUUAUGAAGAAUAUGAAUAAUUGUUUUUAGAACAAUGAAAAGUAUUUAUAAAAAGGUUCAAGAAAUUUAAAACAAUUUUUUGUUCUCCAUAGAAAACAUAACUAAAAAAUAGAAAAUAGUUUUCUAUUUUUGAAAACACAACAAAUUGUUCUCUUUAACCUUUUUUUGUGCCCCUUUCUUUGCCUAGUUAUUUUUAUCAGUUUUUUUUUUUUAGUUUCUUAGGCUGGUUUUAGGAGAGUUUUUUAGGGCUUAAACCUGGGACUUUGGGUCUCAUUUGUUGGGUUUUAAUUUGAGAGAGUUUUAAAUAGAAUUUUGAGUUUGUAUAAAAAUAAUGACAUGUGUCAUAAUCCUUAUCCUUGCUUAUAAAUAUGAGCCUUUAUGCUCAAUUUUAGUAGCUUUUUCUUGGUUUUCUAAAGUAAAACUCUACCCACUUUGAAGAAAAAGAAAGAUAAGAGAAUAUUGAAAGAUUUGGAGGUGAACUUUGGCUUGGAGAAGAAGUUUGUACUAGAAGUCACUCACUUAGGAGGGGUUUCUUUGGUGAGUUUUCCUAGGUUUCAUUCUUGGUAUAUAUUCUUGGUUUGUUUUUGUUUAUUUAUUAGAUGAUGAUUAUAUGGGUUGUGGAUACUGAAAUGUUAUAUGAUUAAUUUAGGUAUUUCUUUUCAUUUUUUGGUUCUAAGCUAUCAUGCCUCAUUAUUGUCAUUUCGAGCAUUUGCUAGAUAUUUGUUCAUUUGUCUACAUCAUUUUUUUUUCCAAUUAUUUUUCAAGCCUUGGUUGAUUGAGUUUUGCUGAUUUUUUUUUUCUUUUCUUUUAGCGACCCAUUGAGUUGUAGAAGGAUAUUGAACUCAUUUUGGUUUAUGUUAUUUGGUUUUUUCUUCUUUUGGAUUGUCCUUAGGAUUUGGUUUUCCUUUUAUUUUGCUGGUUUUUUAGGAGUUUUUAAUUGAUUUGAAAUUGUAAAUUGAGAAUUACAUGCAUUUGUUGUUUGCCCAAAACUUUUUUCCUAGAAAAUAUUAUUUUGAUUCCCUCUUUAAAACCUUCUUUUCAAGUUCUUUUUUUGACUAAAUUUUAAACUCAUUUUGAUGGUCAAUCUCGUGGUCAAAUGUUAGGUCUCAAGUCAUAGGCUUAACGCGACCAUUUUAACUUGAUAAUAUAACUAUCUACUCUCAUUGUUUUAUGAGUCUUACAUGAUUUUUAAAACUAAUUUUGGAGCACCAUUUUUCAAUCUUGUGAGUACACUUUCAUGAUUUGUAGGAGGAUUAAAUUCAUGGUUAAUUUUUGGUUAGUAAUGUCUGCCACUUGUGCAAAACAUAGCUUGGACUCUCAUUAAAGCAUACCUCUCCAUGGAUGUUUUUGUCUACAUUUUAGUUCUCAUUUCCAAAUCUAAGUUUUAAUUAAGCAUUUUAUGCUUCUUAUGAACUUAAUCCAGUGUUCAUUUAAGGGUUGAGAAAGUGCCGAAGCCCUAUAGUUAAACCAUGACCCAUAAUCUUAGCCAACAUCACUCGUUUCGAACCUUUGAUUUUCAGCUUUUUGUUGAUUUUGGAAACAUAAAUUAUCCUUGCAAAUUUGAGAUUAGUGGAAUUAUUGUUAGCCCUUACGAGCCUUUUGAUAUUAAUAGUGGAAUUAUUGUUUGUUGAUAUUAAUAGUCUAUUAGUCAACAUAAUUUCAUCAACUUGUUUAGUAAAAAACUCUUUAGGACUUAAAAGAGGUACUAUCCUACAAUACAUUCCCGAUAAGUAACCUAAUCUUCAACGUACAUUCGAUACAUAAUUUUUCUUGAAAAAUAAGUCAUUUUAGGGUUUUUUUAUUUUUAAAAUAAAAAAAUAAGUGAUUACUUUAUUAUUAUUAUUGUUAUUGUUAUUGUUAGUAGUGUUUUAAAUCAAUAAUAUAAUUAUAUAAAUAUAUUUAUUAUUAAAAUUAAAAGUUUGAGAUUUUAUGUCACAUAAUUACUUCAUAGGUGUUUAAAUAAGUACUCUUUUGAUAAUAGCUCAAGAGAUUGUUUUUUUUUUUUUUAAUAAAAUUUGUAUGUAUUAUCUCAUAUAGGAUAUAAUUAAUUAAUUAAUAAACAAAUAACAUUUAAUCACUCCAGAUUUUAUAGGGAGUAACUCUAAUGGGGCAAAUUUUAGAAAUAGAAUUUUAUAAAGAUUUUUCUUUUCAAUUGCUCUAAAUUUAGAACAAAAUAUUUACAAAAACAAAUUUGGAACUUUCAAGAAUUUAAGAAAUAUUUGAUUAAUUAGGAAUACCAUUUUAUAAUUAAGGAAAAAAGAAGGGUUUCCACACUAGAGGCAUAUUAAAUUAUAAAUAUGUAUAACUUAAAUUUCAUGUUAAUUAAGAUGAAGAUGAUUUUAGAAAAAUAAAAUAGAAAUAAAAAAAUAAAAGUGAAGAAAAAAAAAUUAAAGAAGAUGAAGAUUAUGUUGGGUUAUUGAAAAUUUUAAGAAAAUAAAAUAAAAGAAUUAAUUUUAAUUAUAUUUAUAUAUUUUAUAAUAAAAUAAAAAAUAAAAAAUAUAUUUUUAACAUUAUUUUUCUUUCAAAGAGCAUACAUUACCUAAAACUAAACCAAUCAAAAAAUUACAUAGUAAGAAAACAAAAGGCUAUGUUUAGUCAAGAAAAACACCCAAAAGGGAGGGGGGGGGUGAAUUGGGUUUUUAAAAUCUUUUCAAUCUCAAUAAAAUUAAACAAAAGAUAAGCAAAGUAAAAAUAUAGAGUUGAAAGAAUUCAAACUCGAGUUUAUAGUGGUUCGACACUUCCUUGCCUACGUCCACUCUCCUCAACCUCUUAACCGAGUGAGGGUU